UCCCCCCAAAUCUCCUCCACCAGAACGUCGACUCUUACGACCCAUACAUGGUUUAUAGCACAAAAUAAAAUAGCUUAGUAGGAACAGACAUUUUGUUCAAUUUUUUUUUACCGAAACUGUAAUAAUAAUCAAACUACUCAAUACAUACAACUCAUAAUCUCAGUUCAUAUAAACCACUGAGUUCCACAUAUAUCUGGAGGGAGCGAGAACUCGAGUCCAAAAUGUGAAGCCAGCUAAGCCAGCUUAUUUCAUUGAGCCAGCUUCCUAUUAACCGCGCAUACAAAAUCAAUAGAAAGGCACUGGAACUGACCUCCUAUACCUCUUCAAUUUCCGCCAUCUUGGCAAGGAGUGUGCCGGCCGAAAUUUCGUAUUUUGACUUCGAUUUAAAGACUAAUAUUAUGAUUUUAUGGACUGACAACUUAAUUAGCGAUACAGUUCUUUAGACUAAACUGGAUUUAAUUGAGGAAAAAUGGUAUAACAAUCUGUUUUCAACAAAACUGUUUAC